UCCAGCAGGGCACAUACAACACC
rnacentral:piRNA from 1 species